CUAGAGCAUUGAGGACAUCUGGAAGGGAGUGAUUGUGAUGUUAGACUAUGUGAUCAAAUCAGGUAAAAAGGAGAGAAGUGAGGACAUAGAGUGAACGCCUGCCUUUGUCAGAUGGUGCCAAUGUACCUAUGUUUGUGCGUAAGCCUUGAAAUGCUGUGGACUAAAGCAACAUAACCAGAACUCAGAUAGGGAAGCAAGGCGUUGCAUGGCUGCCCUCCCAACCUAGACAAGAGGUGGACAACAGUGACUCAGGCUCCAAGACUUUCCAGCAAGGUGGUACCUCCAUGAUGGCUCCACGUUUUAUAAAGGAA